AACGCACCUUGCGCCUUUUUAAGGCAUACCUGAUUGAGUGUCUGUUUAACUCUACUUUAAAAGUGAUAUGUAUUAUGCUUAGGCUAAUAUUAAAAAUAUAUUGAGUGGACUAAGGUAAUCACUCUCAAAUUAAACAAAAAGACCUCAGUUUGGUAAGACUACCCGCUGAAUUUAA
rnacentral:misc_RNA from 1 species